UUCCCCUAGUAAUGGCGAAUGAAGAGGGAAAAGCCCAAAUUUGUAAUCUAGCUCUUUCAGAGUUCGAGUUGUAAUUUUAAGAACUGUUUUCAGUGCUGGACCAUGUACAAGUCUGUUGAAAAGCAGCAUCAUAGAAGGUGAUAAUCCUGUUCAUGAUAUGGACUACCAGUGCAAUAUGAUAUGGUUUCUAAGAGUCGAGUUGUUUGGGAAUGCAGCUCAAAGUGGGUGGUAAAUUCCAUCUAAGGCUAAAUAUUGAUGAGAGACCGAUAGCAAACAAGUACCGUGAGGGAAAGAUGAAAAGAACUUUGGAAAGAGAGUUAACAGUACGUGAAAUUGUUAAAAAGGAAACAAUUGAAGUUAGACUUGUUAUUAUUGGUUCGAGAAGCUCUUUAUGAGUGUACAUUCUAAUGAUUAACAGACCAACAUCAAUUUUUGAGUGUUGGAGAAGGGUUUAAGGAAAUGUAACAGUCUCUGACUGUGUUAUAGUCCUGAGCUUUGAUACAAUGCUUAAGAUUGAGGAAUGCAGUGAGCCCUUAAUUGGGUGGAGCAAAUUAUUGUUCUUNCUUACUGAGGAUGUUGGUGCAAUAGCUUUAAG
rnacentral:rRNA from 1 species